rnacentral:rRNA from 1 species
UGGGGAAUUGUUCGCAAUGGGCGAAAGCCUGACGACGCAACGCCGCGUGGAGGAUGAAGGUCUUCGGAUUGUAAACUCCUGUUGCCAGGGACGAAUGACUCGCGAUCUAACACAUCGUGGGAAUGACGGUACCUGGUGAGGAAGCCCCGGCUAACUCUGUGCCAGCAGCCGCGGUAAUACAGAGGGGGCAAGCGUUGUUCGGAAUUACUGGGCGUAAAGGGCGCGUAGGCGGCCCACUAAGUCAGACGUGAAAUCCCUCGGCUCAACCGGGGAACUGCGUCUGAUACUGGAGGGCUUGAAUCCGGGAGAGGGAUGCGGAAUUCCAGGUGUAGCGGUGAAAUGCGUAGAUAUCUGGAGGAACACCGGUGGCGAAGGCGGCAUCCUGGACCGGCAUUGACGCUGAGGCGCGAAAGCUAGGGGAGCAAACGGG